CCCUUAGAUGUUCUGGGCCGCACGCGCGCUACACUGAUGAAUUCAACGAGCACUAACCUGUGCCGAAAGGUUCGGGUAAUCUUGUGAAAUUUCAUCGUGAUGGGGAUUGAUUAUUGCAAUUUUUAAUCAUAAACGAGGAAUGCCUAGUAAGCGUGAGUCAUCAGCUCACGUUGAUUACGUCCCUGCCCUUUGUACACACCGCCCGUCGCUCCUACCGAUUGAAUGUGCCAGUGAAAAGUUCGGAUUGGAGAUGGGAAACGGCAACGUAUCCUAUUUCCGAGAAAAUCUUUAAACUUUCCCAUUUAGAGGAAGGAGAAGUCGUAACA
rnacentral:rRNA from 1 species